rnacentral:rRNA from 1 species
GCAUAUCAAUAAGCGGAGGAAAAGAAACCCAACAGGGAUUGCCCCAGUAACGGCGAGUGAAGCGGCAACAGCUCAAAUUUGAAAUCUGGCCCCCCAGGGUCCGAGUUGUAAUUUGCAGAGGAUGCUUUGGGCGCGGCGCCUUCCGAGUUUCCCUGGAACGGGACGCCACAGAGGGUGAGAGCCCCGUCUGGUUGGAUGCCUAGCCUGUGUAAAGCUCCUUCGACGAGUCGAGUAGUUUGGGAAUGCUGCUCUAAACGGGAGGUAUAUGUCUUCUAAAGCUAAAUAUUGGCCAGAGACCGAUAGCGCACAAGUAGAGUGAUCGAAAGAUGAAAAGCACUUUGAAAAGAGGGUUAAAUAGUACGUGAAAUUGUUGAAAGGGAAGCGCUCGCGACCAGACUUGGGCCCGGCGGAUCACCCGGCGUUCUUCGCCGGGGCACUCCUCCGGCCCAGGCCAGCAUCGGUUCGCCCUGGGGGAUAAAGGCGGUGGGAACGUAGCUCCCUCGGGAGUGUUAUAGCCCGCCGUGUAAUACCCUGCGGCGGACCGAGGACCGCGCAUCUGCAAGGAUGCUGGCGUAAUGGUUGUCAGCGACCCGUCUUGAAACACGGACCAAGGAGUCGUCCUCGUAUGCGAGUGUUCGGGUGGAAAACCCCUACGCGUAAUGAAAGUGAACGCAGGUGAGAGCUUCGGCGCAUCAUCGACCGAUCCUGAUGUUCUCGGAUGGAUUUGAGUAAGAGCAUACGGGGCCGGACCCGAAAGAAGGUGAACUAUGCCUGUAUAGGGUGAAGCCAGAGGAAACUCUGGUGGAGGCUCGCAGCGGUUCUGACGUGCAAAUCGAUCGUCAAAUAUGGGCAUGGGGGCGAAAGACUAAUCGAAACCAUACUAGUAGCUGGUUUCGCGAG